UGGGGAAUUUUGGACAAUGGGCGCAAGCCUGAUCCAGCCAUGCCGCGUGUCUGAAGAAGGCCUUCGGGUUGUAAAGGACUUUUGUCAGGGAAGAAAAGGGCGGGGUUAAUACCCCUGUCUGAUGACGGUACCUGAAGAAUAAGCACCGGCUAACUACGUGCCAGCAGCCGCGGUAAUACGUAGGGUGCGAGCGUUAAUCGGAAUUACUGGGCGUAAAGCGGGCGCAGACGGUUACUUAAGCAGGAUGUGAAAUCCCCGGGCUCAAACUGGGAACUGCGUUCUGAACUGGGUGACUAGAGUGUGUCAGAGGGAGGGAGAAUUCCACGUGUAGCAGUGAAAUGCGUAGAGAUGUGGAGGAAUACCGAUGGCGAAGGCAGCCUCCUGGGAUAACACUGACGUUCAUGCCCGAAAGCGUGGGUAGCAAACA
rnacentral:rRNA from 1 species